rnacentral:rRNA from 1 species
AUUGAACGCUGGCGGCAUGCCUUACACAUGCAAGUCGAACGGCAGCACGGGAGCAAUCCUGGUGGCGAGUGGCGAACGGGUGAGUAAUAUAUCGGAACGUGCCCAGUCGUGGGGGAUAACGUAGCGAAAGCUACGCUAAUACCGCAUACGAUCUAUGGAUGAAAGCGGGGGAUCGCAAGACCUCGCGCGAUUGGAGCGGCCGAUAUCAGAUUAGGUAGUUGGUGGGGUAAAAGCCUACCAAGCCUUCGAUCUGUAGCUGGUCUGAGAGGACGACCAGCCACACUGGAACUGAGACACGGUCCAGACUCCUACGGGAGGCAGCAGUGGGGAAUUUUGGACAAUGGGCGCAAGCCUGAUCCAGCAAUGCCGCGUGCAGGAUGAAGGCCUUCGGGUUGUAACUGCUUUGUACGGAACGAAACGGUUACUUUCUAAUACAGAGAGCUAAUGACGGUACCGUAAGAAUAAGACACCGGC